GUCGGUUGAGGAGUUUAAGUUCUUGAACUCUUCGUAUGCGCCGGUCUUGAGGCAGCUAGAGUCUGCUAAGUUGCAGAAGUUUUACUUUGAGAACCAGGCGGAGAACGCGACUAGAGAUGAACAUAACAUCAAGUUCAAGAACCCCAAGUAUCUCUCGGUGUUGAACCAUCUGAGAUUCUACUUACCGGAGAUGUAUCCGAAGCUGAAUAAGAUCUUGUUCUUGGACGAUGAUGUUGUGGUGCAGAAGGACGUGACUGGGUUGUGGAAGAUUAAUUUAGAUGGGAAGGUGAAUGGAGCUGUUGAGACGUGCUUUGGCUCUUUUCAUCGAUAUGGUCAAUACCUAAACUUCACUCAUCCUCUGAUCAAAGAGAGCUUUAAUUAGAGUCUGCUAAGUUGCAGAAGUUUUACUUUGAGAACCAGGCGGAGAACUCGACUAGAGAUGAACAUAACAUCAAGUUCAAGAACCCCAAGUAUCUCUCGGUGUUGAACCAUCUGAGAUUCUACUUACCGGAGAUGUAUCCGAAGCUGAAUAAGAUCUUGUUCUUGGACGAUGAUGUUGUGGUGCAGAAGGACGUGACUGGGUUGUGGAAGAUUAAUUUAGAUGGGAAGGUGAAUGGAGCUGUUGAGACGUGCUUUGGCUCUUUUCAUCGAUAUGGUCAAUACCUAAACUUCACUCAUCCUCUGAUCAAAGAGAGCUUUAACCCCAAUGCUUGUGCUUGGGCCUUUGGGAUGAAUAUAUUUGAUCUCAAUGCUUGGAGGCGUGAGAAAUGCACUGAUCAAUACCAUUACUGGCAGAACUUGGUAAGUCCGUAUCUUUUCUUUGUAACUUAUGCAUAUCAAAUAAUCUCUUUAUCUUGUGUUGAUUGUGUGUUAAUCUCUCUUGAGCAGAAUGAAGACAGAAGUCUCUGGAAAUUAGGCACUCUGCCUCCGGGACUGAUGACAUUCUAUUCAAAGACGAAAUCACUGGACAAGUCAUGGCAUGUGCUUGGGUUAGGCUACAACCCAGGAGUGAGCAUGGACGAGAUUAAAAAAGCAGCAGUGAUACAUUACAAUGGAAACAUGAAACCAUGGCUCGACAUUGCUAUGAACCAAUACAAGUCUCUCUGGACUAAAUACGUCGACAACGAAAUGGAGUUUGUGCAGAUGUGCAAUUUUGGUCUUUAAAGAAAGAUAUCGAUGAAGAGGUAACCUCAAAUCGAUAUGUGUUCAGUCAUUCAGGGCAUUCUUUAGCUUAUAUACGUUUAUCUUUUACUAGGGAUUGGUCCGCCCUACGGGCGGGUAAGUUUACAAUAAAAUUCUUUAUAUUAAAAUAUAUUUUAAUUUUAUAAAACAUUUAAAAAUUAUUUUAAGUAUAAUUUGUUUUCUAAGAUCAUAUUGUAAAUUUCAUUUGUUAAACGUUAAACAACUGUUAUAAAUUUUCUUCUAAUAUCAUACCUUAUUUGUUAUUUGAGUUUCUAAGAAAAUGUAAAUUGGUAGUGCAUUAGGUUUGCAUUUGGAAUUGAUAUGUGUGAUACUGAUUUUAGUUUUUUUAAAAUGUUGUGUGUCAGGAAGUGUGAUUGCAUGAGGUCAUUUGGAUGAGGAAUUAAAUGUGAUGUGAGUGAGUUUGUAUGCUUCUGAAACUGAUUUAUAGUAUACAAUACCAGUAAAUUUGAUUUGUAUGAACAAUUUGAAUUGGAGAAGAAGUGUUCGGUUAAUAUAUUUCAAAACUUUAUGGGCUUUCAAGGAUUUUUGUGUUGUUGGUCGUUUAAGUUUGGAAUCCACACUCCAUUGAGUAACUGUUUUUUUUUUGCGCUUGGGAGCUCGUCAUCGUUUUGCUUGGAGUAUUUAUUUUUGCAAAACAGUUGAUAUUUAUACUUAUAUCAAGUGAUUCGUAAUAAAUUUAUGGUUAAACAUUUGGCCUCACAAUGUCUAUUUUAGUUAUUUCAAUCUCAUAGGAAUGAGUUUAUUUGUUUUAUACAACCAAUUCUCAUAGUUUAAUGUGAGUGACAUUCAUCCUACAUAAAAGUUGAAUAGGAGUAGUGUGUACUUUGUUUAAUCAUUUAUAAUCAGUUGGUAUAUUUUCUCUUUUUCAUAGUGGGAUGAUUGGUUUAAAGAACUUUAAUGGCAAAAAAGGAACCUUAAUGGCAAUCUGAAUUACGUUGGUUGAAUGAUGAUCUAAGGCAUAGCAAAGUCGGAUUUAGAAAGGUGGUAAAAUCAAGAUUUAGCCAUAGGUCAAUGAAAAUGUUAAACCGAUGGAGGCAUUAGUAGGAAAGCAAUGGUUUGUCAGCUCGAUCAGUUGGUCUAAAUGUUAAAUUAGUAACGCCAAUUAAAACCAAAGAUUCCAAUAGGAAAACUUGAAAAAACUUGUGAAAUGGAAGGUUUUGAACACGAAUGGGUUCAUUUAGUAUAUUGAUAUGUUUGUGAUUUUAAUGUUUUUAUUUGUGUGUUCCUCGGUUAAUUUAUUCUCAAAUGUUUUUAUAUGCUUAUUUGAUGAUAAGUGAUUUUUUUUAUAACAUGAUUAAGAUUAGCAAUUUUGUGAUAAGUUAACUAUCACAUUAUGUGUCAUGUUUUACAAUUAUAUUUAUUCAUAUUUUGGUUUCCUAAUAUUAUAAUUAUUAUUUUUAUAGGUAUUUUAACGGCUAAUGACUAAUUUUUUAGUUGUUGAUUUAUAUUUGUAAUAGUAAUUAAAAAUUCUAAAUUAUUGUUCUGCUUUAUUUUACUUAACUUUGCUUUCAAUUAAUAUUUAUUUUAUUAAUUGUGUUUUUACAGUCUUAAUAUUGUUUUUUUUUGGAAUUACCAUUUUCAUUAUAAAUUAAAAGGUUUUGGUUCAGUAUAUUUAUGUAUUAGUAUAGCUUUUUCGUUUCUAGAUUGAAGAGAAAAAACAAUGAAAAUAUUUGAAGUUUAAUAGAAUUUCAAAUUAAAUGUUAUAUAAAUUAUAUAAAUAUUUGAUACACGUCAUUUUAUAUUUAUUAUUUUAGUUUUUAUUUAGAUUUGUAACAAUUUAUGUAACUGGAAUUUUUAUCACAAAUAUACAAUUUAAUUGUCCCAGCAUAUCUUUACAUUUUAAUCAAUAUGUUUAAUUAAUGUUAUUUCAUAUUCGUUUGAUUGUAAUUUCGAUAUUGGUCAUCAUGUUUGUUACGGUUAGUAUAGCACAUCAAAAUUGUGAGAAUCUGAGAACCUGUUUUUGUAAGCUUCCACUCUUUGGCUCAACAGCCCCAUAGUAUGGAAUCGAAACCUGUUUGGGCACUUAUACAACCAAUUUGAGCAUGGAAGAGUGUGAUUCUUGUCGUGUCUAAAACUUGUGAGCAGAAGUUGGGUUACGGAACUAAAGACGAUAAGUGAUAAUCGUAGGAAUUUUCUUUAUUGUUAGGAUAAUUUCAAGACAGAGGAGAUGAUUUCAGGGUGCCCAAAUACAAAGUAAAGAUAAUCUUAUUCAAGAGUUGUGUUAUAAAGUCUUGUGUGCCUUCUUUGAUGGGACCCUCUGGCGCAGGAAACAGAGCUUCUCCAGCAGUGUUUCCGCUCAAUACAUUAGGUACUCCAGGUGAUGUGUCCGUAUCACUUCGUUCGUCCGCCGGUCGGUUAUGCUUCUGGAGGUGUUCUCGGACCCAUGGAGUCAGAGCCAUUGCAGAAGAUACACGUAGAUACUCUAUUUUUAUGCACCUCCACAAUUAUCAGAACUGGAUGAUCAGUUGACGUCACUCCCACGCAAUCUGCAGUUGAGAACGUGUAAGAUUCUUGAGAAAGUGUGUAGGAGGGAAGUGAUACAAACAUCCUGUUGUUCAAGAUUCUUACUCUUGGAAGAAGCUCUAGCCAGAGCCGCUUUCAUUGUUAAAGUAGAAAUGAGUGUCAGAUGUUGUAUUAAGGAAUAGUCGACCUGCAAGCAGAACUAAGUAAGCUCCAUAAGAUGUUCUGAAUCAGAACUUCUGAUGCACAAAGUGAAUGCACAGACUCUGUGAUCUUGACGAUCUGGGUAAGUUAGGUGUAGAUCGCAACUGUUGAGUCUGAAAAUCUGAAGUGAUUGUUGAUUCUGUAAGACUAUGUAGCAAAUUUUGAAUAAGCUAGUUGUGGAGUUCAUUCACAGAGUGCUCUCGCUCCUUAGUUGUGGCAGCUUUAGUGUUUGCUUCCUCGAUAUUCGUAGAAGUUUAAAAAAAAAAUGAAAGAAUACAAAAAUAAAUAGUUGAUAAGCUGUAUAGCAGUGAUUUUCAAAAUAGUGUGGGCAUAAAAAUGAAAAUUUGGAUAUAUUAGUCGACACAUACUCUAGUGAAAGACAUUACCUUGUUACAAUAUGCAAUCUCCAACUGUUUAAUGUUUCUGGCCUCUAAGCACACACCAGUUAUCUCCAUUCCAGUACACGGGGAAACAAUGCCUCCUCACCAAGUUCAACAUGUCAGAAACAUAGAUUGGAUAUAAGCACUCUAAAGGUUAAACAUGUUAACAUUUUAAAACACUGCAGAGAACAAUGGUACCUCAUAUAGACGACUCUAAACAGGUGCACCAGCUAUCCCCUCUUGUAGAAGACGCAAAAUCUUCUGAAAGAGUUUUAAUUGAUUGCUUAUUCGAGUUACUUUUAAGGAAUGGAAGUAAACCUGGUGAUCGGCGGUGGGACUGUCUAGUGGAGAUGAUGCGAGCGCCGAUGUUGUCCUGUCGAAUCUGCUGCGCUGAACCAGUUCCUGUUGUUUUAAAUCACAUUAAUCAGACCAAAUAUUAUGCGAGUAUAUUCAUUCUUCAAUUAAUUAUUGAGUGGCAAAAUUAAAAAUGAAAUAAUCAAUUGUUACAAAAUGGACAGAAACUUUAUGUUUGUUUAAUUUUUUUAAAAAUUUUGUGCAGUUAAGUGUUAGUUGAUAAUAAUUUUACGCAAACAAUACUUUUAAGUAUUUAAGCUGCUGGUUUCAAAUACUUUGGUAAUAAAAUGUUAAUGUCCUAAAGUAUAAGGGUGAGACUGGGGUUUUAAUAAUAUUGAGAGUUUAUAUCUACACUAUAAAUUAGUAAUUGUUUAUUAAACCAAUGAUUAAUGACAUUAACGUGUCUUCUUCACUAAAAUGUCUUGAGAUCUCUAUCCAUCCCAUCACUCUCCAGAGGCUAAUUCACACUCUAUCGGGCAAGCAAGAACCUCAUCCCCAUCUGAACUUUUUUUUUUUUAAACUGACUUAUAAAAGGUAAAGCUAAAUGGCGGUGGCCUUCCAUGGAGGCCGGAACGGCGUCGGAUCGGGACUCCGCAGUUUCUUCUCGUACCGGAUCUUCAUCUCCGCCUUGUUCUCUUUCCUCUUCCUCGCCACCUUCUCCGUUGUCCUCAACUCCUCUCGUCACCAACCUCAUCUCGAUCACGUAAGCUUCCGAUUCGUUUCACAAUCCGAAUCAAAAUUUAGAAAUGAAUUUAGAAUCUGAGCUUCGAUUUUUGGUGUUUAGACAUUGCCGAGGACGUUUCAAUCGGAUCCGUUGAAAGCUAGGUUAGAUCUGAUCCACAAGCAAGCCACCGAUCACCUCACGCUUGUGAACGCUUACGCUGCUUACGCUAGGAAGCUCAAGCUCGACGCGUCGAAGCAGCUGAAGCUCUUCGAAGAUCUGGCGGUUAACUUCUCCGAUCUGCAGGCCAAACCUGGACUGAAGCUCGAAAACGGGAACGCGAUCGAGGAGGAUGCGUUUCGGCAGAUCGAGAAAGAGGUUAAAGAUAAGGUGAAGACCGCGAGGAUGAUGAUCGUUGAGUCCAAAGAGAGUUACGAUACACAGCUCAAGAUCCAGAAGCUCAAGGAUACGAUCUUCGCUGUUCAAGAACAGUUGACGAAAGCUAAGAAAAACGGCGCCGUUGCGAGCUUGAUCUCGGCUAAGUCGGUUCCCAAGAGUCUUAACUGUUUGGCUAUGAGGCUUGUUGGUGAGAGGAUCUCUAACCCUGAGAAGUAUAAGGAUGCUCCGUUUGAUUCGGCUGUGUUGGAGGAUCCGAGUCUUUAUCACUACGCGGUUUUCUCUGAUAAUGUGAUUGCUGUUUCCGUUGUGGUGAGGUCGGUUGUGGUGAACGCUGAGGAGCCGUGGAAGCAUGUGUUUCAUGUGGUGACUGAUAGGAUGAAUCUCGCCGCUAUGAAGGUUUGGUUUAAGAUGCGUCCUUUGGACCGUGGUGCUCGUGUUGAGAUUAAGUCGGUUGAGGAGUUUAAGUUCUUGAACUCUUCGUAUGCGCCGGUCUUGAGGCAGUUAGAGUCUGCUAAGUUGCAGAAGUUUUACUUUGAGAACCAGGCGGAGAACUCGACUAGAGAUGAACAUAACAUCAAGUUCAAGAACCCCAAGUAUCUCUCGGUGUUGAACCAUCUGAGAUUCUACUUACCGGAGAUGUAUCCGAAGCUGAAUAAGAUCUUGUUCUUGGACGAUGAUGUUGUGGUGCAGAAGGACGUGACUGGGUUGUGGAAGAUUAAUUUAGAUGGGAAGGUGAAUGGAGCUGUUGAGACGUGCUUUGGCUCUUUUCAUCGAUAUGGUCAAUACCUAAACUUCACUCAUCCUCUGAUCAAAGAGAGCUUUAACCCCAAUGCUUGUGCUUGGGCCUUUGGGAUGAAUAUAUUUGAUCUCAAUGCUUGGAGGCGCGAGAAAUGCACAGAUCAAUACCAUUA
rnacentral:lncRNA from 1 species